CCCUUAGAUGUUCUGGGCCGCACGCGCGCUACACUGAUGCAUUCAACGAGUCUAAAACCUGCUCUGAUAGGGGUGGGUAAUCUUUUGAAUGUGCAUCGUGAUUGGGAUAGAUGAUUGCAAUUUUUCAUCUUCAACGAGGAAUGCCUAGUAAACGCAAGUCAUCAGCUUGCAUUGAUUACGUCCCUGCCCUUUGUACACACCGCCCGUCGCUCCUACCGAUUGAAUGAUCCGAUGAAUAUCAUGGAUUGAGGAUUAUAGCAGGUUCGCCUGUCUUGAUCUUCGAGAAGUGAAGUAAAUCUGAUCAUUUAGAGGAAGGAGAAGUCGUAACA
rnacentral:rRNA from 1 species